GGAGAUGGGGUGAGGUUGGAGGCUUAGCCUAUCAGUGAACCCACCUGCUUCCAUACCCCUACCCAG
ensembl:miRNA Mir6943 microRNA 6943